rnacentral:misc_RNA from 1 species
GAUGAAGAACGUAGCGAAAUGCGAUACUUGGUGUGAAUUGCAGAAUCCCGUGAACCAUCGAGUCUUUGAACGCAAGUUGCGCCCGAAGCCAUUUGGUUGAGGGCACGUCUGCCUGGGCGUCACAUAUCGUUGCCCGAUGCCUAUUGCAGUGUGAUAGGAAAUUCUAGGGCGAAAGAUGGCUUCCCGUGAGCGUUGUUGCCUCGCGGUUGGAUGAAAAUUGAGUCCUUGGUAGGGUGUGCCAUGAUAGAUGGUGGUCGAGUUUGCACGAGACCGAUCAUGUGUGCGCUCCCCAAAAUAUGGACUCUUUGACCCCACACGCGUCUUUUGACGCUCAUGACGAGACCUCAGGUCAGGCGGGGCUACCCGCUGAGUUUAAGCAUAUCAAUAAGCGGAGGA